CGAACGGGAAGCCCCAUUUUCCUUUGUGCUUCAGCUUGUCUUGUCUGCACCAGACUUCAGGAAAGACAACUGAGAUCCCAGCCCAAUCUCCAGCCAUGAGGAUCCUUUACCUUCUGCUUCUUGUUCUCUUCCUGGGCCUCCAAGCAGCCCAAGGAAGCUUUUCAUUUAAAGACACUCGGAAAUGUAAAAGCAACUGGUAUCAUAUGGGUGGCCGGUGCCGACUGUGGGGCUGCAAAAUUGGUGAGAAAAGGACUGGAACAUGCUUGGCUGGGUUAAUGGCCUGCUGCCACCCAAUGCACUAAAGAACCCGCUGUGCUGAGUUGAAUGUCCCCAGAAUGGAGA